AAUAGCGUAUAUUAAAGUUGUUGCAGUUAAAAAGCUCCGUAGUUGGACCUUGGGCCUGGACAGGCGGUCCGCCUCACGGCGUGUACUGUCUUGCUGGGCCUUUCCUCUUGGUGAUCUGUGGUUUCGGCCGCAGGGAACCAGGACCUUUACUUUGAAAAAAUUAGAGUGUUCAAAGCAGGCUUUACGCCAGAAUAUAUUAGCAUGGAAUAAUAAAAUAGGACGUGCGGUUCUAUUUUGUUGGUUUUUGGGAUCGCCGUAAUGAUUAAUAGGGACAGUCGGGGGCAUUAGUACUCACAUGCUAGAGGUGAAAUUCUUGGAUUUUGUGAAGACUAACUUCUGCGAAAGCAUUUGCCAAGGAUGUUUUCAUUAAUCAAGAACGAAGGUUAGGGUAUCGAAAACGAUUAGAUACCGUUGUAGUCUUAACAGUAAACUAUGCCGACUAGGGAUCGGUCGAUGUUAUUUUCUUGACUCGAUCGGCACCUUACGAGAAAUCAAAGUUUUUGGGUUCUGGGGGGAGUAUGGUCGCA
rnacentral:rRNA from 1 species